GACGGGGGCCCGCACAAGCGGUGGAGCAUGUGGUUUAAUUCGAUGAUACGCGAGGAACCUUACCUGGGCUCAAAUGUAUGUUGACGUAUUCUGAAAGGGAUACUUCUUCGGACAAUAUACAAGGUGCUGCAUGGUUGUCGUCAGCUCGUGCCGUGAGGUGUCGGGUUAAGUCCCAUAACGAGCGCAACCCCUAUCAUUAGUUGCCAUCAGGUCAAGCUGGGGACUCUAAUGAAACUGCCUACGCAAGUAGUGAGGAAGGUGGGGAUGACGUCAAAUCAGCACGGCCCUUACGUCCAGGGCUACACACGUGCUACAAUGGCCGGUACAGAGCGCAGCGAAGCCGCGAGGCAAAGCGAAUCGCAAAAAGCCGGUCUCAGUACGGAUUGGAGUCUGAAACCCGACUCCAUGAAGUUGGAAUCGCUAGUAAUCGCGCAUCAGCAUGGCGCGGUGAAUACGUUCCCGGGCCUU
rnacentral:rRNA from 1 species